rnacentral:rRNA from 1 species
GGAGGGUGCGAGCGUUAAUCGGAAUUACUGGGCGUAAAGGGUGCGCAGGUGGUUGAUUAAGUUAUCUGUUAAAUGACUGGGCUUAACCUGGUGAUGCAGGUGAUACUGAUUGACUUGAGUAUGGGAGAGGGUAGUGGAAUUUCCGGUGUAGCGGUGAAAUGCGUAGAUAUCGGAAGGAACACCGGUGGCGAAGGCGGCUACCUGGCCUAUAACUGACACUGAGGCACGAAAGCGUGGGGAGCAAACAGGAUUAGAUACCCUGGUAGUCCACGCUGUAAACGAUGUCAACUAGCCGUUGGUCACAUAGAAGUGAUUAGUGGCGUAGCAAACGCGAUAAGUUGACCGCCUGGGGAGUACGGUCGCAAGAUUA